rnacentral:rRNA from 1 species
UACGAAGGGUGCAAGCGUUACUCGGAAUUACUGGGCGUAAAGCGUGCGUAGGCGGUUCGUUAAGUCCGUUGUGAAAGCCCUGGGCUCAACCUGGGAAUGGCAGUGGAUACUGGCGAGCUAGAGUGUGAUAGAGGAUGGUGGAAUUCCCGGUGUAGCGGUGAAAUGCGUAGAGAUCGGGAGGAACACCAAGUGGCGAAGGCGGCCAUCUGGAUCAACACUGACGCUGAGGCACGAAAGCGUGGGGAGCAAAC